UACGUAGGGGGCUAGCGUUGUCCGGAAUCAUUGGGCGUAAAGAGCGUGUAGGCGGCCCGGUAAGUCCGCUGUGAAAGUCGGGGGGCUCAACCCUCGAAUGCCGGUGGAUACUGUCGGGCUAGAGUGCGGAAGAGGCGAGUGGAAUUCCUGGUGUAGCGGUGAAAUGCGCAGAUAUCAGGAGGAACACCAAUUGCGAAGGCAGCUCGCUGGGACGUAACUGACGCUGAGACGCGAAAGCGUGGGGGGAGCAAACAGG
rnacentral:rRNA from 1 species